AAUGCCCCCCCCCCCCCCCUAACUUAGUACGAGAGGAACCGUUAGUUCGGAUAAUUGGUUUAUGGGGUUGUCUGAACAGACAGUGCCCCGAAGCUACCAUCCGUCGGAUUAUGACUGAACGCCUCUAAGUCAGAAUCCAUGCUGAAAAGUGGCGAUGCACUUGCUCCCGAUGUCACGCGAAUAGCGAUAGCCGAAAGGCCAGCAUCAUAAAAUUGCGUUCAACGCUGAACCACAAUUUCUACCGUUGGGAGCGGUAAAUCCUUUGUAGACGACUUGAUAAGGAACGGGGUAUUGUAAGCAUGAUAGUAGGCUUUGUCCUACGAUCUGCUGAGAUUAAGCCUCUUGUUCCGAAGAUUU
rfam:Ectocarpus siliculosus strain Ec 32, whole genome shotgun sequence assembly, chromosome LG03